rnacentral:rRNA from 1 species
UACGUAGGGUGCAAGCGUUGUCCGGAAUUAUUGGGCGUAAAGAGCUCGUAGGCGGUCUGUUGCGUCGGCUGUGAAAACCCGAGGCUCAACCUCGGGCCUGCAGCCGAUACGGGCAGACUAGAGUUCGGCAGGGGAGACUGGAAUUCCUGGUGUAGCGGUGAAAUGCGUAGAUAUCAGGAGGAACACCGGUGGCGAAAGCGCUCAUCUGGCCCGAUACUGACGCUGAAGCACGAAAGCUAGGGGAGCAAACAGG